CUACGGGCUGCAGCAGUGAGGAAUAUUGGUCAAUGGGCGCAAGCCUGAACCAGCCAUGCCGCGUGAAGGAUGACAGCGCUACGCGUUGUAAACUUCUUUUGUACAGGAAGAAACGCUUCUACGUGUAGAAGUUUGACGGUACUGUACGAAUAAGCAUCGGCUAACUCCGUGCCAGCAGCCGCGGUAAUACGGAGGAUGCAAGCGUUAUCCGGAUUUAUUGGGUUUAAAGGGUACGUAGGCGGAAAAUUAAGUCAGUAGUGAAAUCCCGCAGCUUAACUGUGGAACUGUUAUUGAUACUGGUUUUCUUGAAUGUAGAUGAAGUAGGCGGAAUGCGUAAUGUAGCGGUGAAAUGCUUAGAUAUUACACAGAACACCGAUUGCGAAGGCAGCUUACUAAGCUAUGAUUGACGCUGAGAUACGAAAGCGUGGGGAGCGAACAGGAUUAGAUACCCGUGUAGUC
rnacentral:rRNA from 1 species